GGGGGGCUGCUCCUAGUACGAGAGGACCGGAGUGGACGCAUCACUGGUGUUCGGGUUGUCAUGCCAAUGGCACUGCCCGGUAGCUAAAUGCGGAAGAGAUAAGUGCUGAAAGCAUCUAAGCACGAAACUUGCCCCGAGAUGAGUUCUCCCUGAGACUUUAAGUCUCCUGAAGGAACGUUGAAGACGACGACGUUGAUAGGCCGGGUGUGUAAGCGCAGCGAUGCGUUGAGCUAACCGGUACUAAUGAACCGUGAGGCUUAACCUU
rnacentral:rRNA from 2 species